GACGAACGCUGGCGGCGCGCUUAACACAUGCAAGUCGAGUGAAGCGGCGGCCGGGUGAGUAACCCGUGAGUCACCUGCCUUAGACCUUGGGAUCGCCUCGGGAAACCGGGAUUAAUACCACAUGGUCUCAGAGGGACUCGCGUCCCAUUAGCUAGUUGGUGGGUAACGGCCCACCAAGGCGACGAUGGGUAGCCGGGCUGAGAGGGUGAACGGCCACAUUGGAACUGAGAAACGGUCCAAACUCUACGGGAGGGAGCAGGGGGGAAUAUUGCACAAUGGAGGGAACGCUGAUGCAGCGACGCCGCGUGAACGAAGAAGGAUGUCGAGUCGUAAAGUUCGUGUAUAUGGGAAGCGGUACCAUAAGAAAAAGCCCCGGCUAACUACGUGCCAGCAGCCGCGGUAAUAC
rnacentral:rRNA from 1 species